rnacentral:lncRNA from 1 species
CCUGAACUGUAUGUUUUGAAUGGCUCAGGAAGGGCCAAAUCCCAAAUGAUGCUGAGAGGUUUGUCCCCAAUGAAAUUAUCAAUCCUUGCAGAGAUACCCAAUAUCCAAUCUGGAUGCAGUGAAGCGUUCUAUAUCUUUUCUGACAGGUUAACAUCCUUUUCCAAGUAGGUGAAUCAUUGGAUUUAGGUUGCACAACAGUAGCAUGAGUAUCAUGAGUGACAGCUCGUAGGCGGCAAAAGUGAGUUCCUAGCUUAAUCCCCCCAAGUUCUCUUAACUGGUAUGAGCUUGAAUUGAAGACUUGUGCGAUCUUCUGCUAGAGGGGAAUCCAACCCUGUUAUUUUUUUUAGAUUGAUAAAUAAUUCAAGGGGCUAUAGAAAAGUCGAUAAGAAAAUUGAAGCUACGAUUGUUAACAAACCUUGAUCAAUCCUGUCUCUGUACCGCAUAGAAUCAUGUCGUUGGCUGAGAGUAGGCUUGUUAUCUUGCUACCAGCUGAUAGUCUGCCAACUCUGUGUUGUGUCCCUCUCAACCAUAUCUGCUUGCAUAGAAAUGACUCAGUUGAUGGCACCAGAUUGUUAGAAAAGACUCAACAGCCAAAUGAUUAUUACAUUUAAUAUAUUGUAAAUCUUUGACCGCAUGGUAGCAACUAUAUUACUAUUAUUAUUAUUUUUUUUUUGUCGUAUAGCGUGUCCUUAUACUUUGUAUUAGGUUGCCCUAGUUACUAUGUUAAUGAAGGAUCUGAGGGAGAGCCCUCUUCAGCCUGCAAUAAAAGACAGAGAAGUGUGAGAUCUCCUGUCGUUAAACUUGAUUAUAAUGGAAACUUAGCAGUGGCAAAGUAGAUAUAGCUUUCACAUUGAGGGUGAACCAUUAUGAAACAUUUCUCAUUUCUUUUCUGUUUUAUUAUUGUUCUUGGGAUUAGGGAUUAAGGUUUAAUCUAUCACAGUAAAUACAAUGCAUUGGUUACCUGUAGGCUGCUCAUUGAUGUGCUGCAGUUUAGGUAUAUAAAAUCCUCCACUACUUCCAUCGCAAGAAUGCUUGCUCCCUUCUCUGGCACCACAGAUAUUUGGGGACUGUUGUUUUUUCUCCAGUCCUGGAUUGGUUGCCCAAUCAAUAAAAAAGCAUUUACAUUAACUCAAAAAUUCCUAAUAGCAUUCAGCCAUGUCUGAGGAGUUUGACGCCUUGUCAAGAAAUGGCAUGUUGAAGCUUGUCCAUCCCCUCCUAUACUAAGAUGUUGUCGAUCGCAAAUGAGUUUUUUCAUUUCAUACGUAUACCUGAUGGUUCUCUAUAACACAUAAAGGCCCAUCUAGUAGCCAAGGAUUUUCAUCAGAGUCCGGAUGCCAAUGAUGAUGAAUUGUUUAGUUUGAUUGUCAAACAUAUGACAGUACCAUUCAUUUUUAGACUCUCACCUUGGCAUAAAAUGGCCACUUAGUUAGCUUGAUAUUAAUAAUUCUAAUACGCAUUGCCACCGAAGUUCAAGUUAUUAUCCAUGUGGCAUCCCAUAUGGAACCAUGUCAGAAGCAGUCCACAUAAUCAAGGUAAAAGAAAACCGAAGCCUAUGAAGAAAUAGUGCUUCAACUGAAGCACUGUAUAAUAAUUCAAAGUAACCUGUAUGCUUGAAUCCAUGCAGCCUAUAUACAACUUCCCCUAGGCUUCCCUCAUGCACUUCACGCAUUUACUCUUGAAAACAUCAUUAACUUUUCUUGAUGCAUCAAAAACCUGUAGACGAUCGUUUCAUUGGAGGUAUGCAUUCAUUUUUCUUGCAUCUCGUAAUUCACAUGCUCUAUUGUUAAUGUCACUAUUGUUAUAGUUGUACCUUCAUUUUAUGGCUUUGGGUAGUUGCGAAAAUCAGUUCAC